UACGUAGGGGGCAAGCGUUGUCCGGAUUUAUUGGGCGUAAAGAGCGUGUAGGCGGCCACACAGGUCUGCUGUGAAAACUCGAGGCUCAACCUCGAGCUGUCGGUGGAAACCGUGUGGCUAGAGUCCGGAAGAGGAGAGUGGAAUUCCUGGAUGUAGCGGUGAAAUGCGUAGAUAUCAGGAGGAACACCGGCGGCGAAGGCGGCUCUCUGGACCGAUGCUGACGCUGAGACGCGAAAGCCGUGGGGAGCAAAGC
rnacentral:rRNA from 1 species